GUUAUAAUAAUUUAAUUAAAAUAUUGAUUUUGUAAAUCAAAUUUAGGGAUACCUUUAUAACA
rnacentral:tRNA from 1 species